rnacentral:tRNA from 1 species
UAGAUUGAUGCUCGUUGGUUGGAGCGCUUAGCUGUUAACUAAGAGUUUGUGGGAUCAAAGCCUUCCUAUCUAG